CUUACAUCAUCCGUCACAAUAAAUCAUCUUUAUGGUUUAGACAACACCCAAUUUACUAUAAAAAGCGAGGAAGUUUGAAGUUUCUCUUCACAUUUCUCUUGCUUGCGAAAAGGAUCCUAGAGCAACUGGAAGAAAACAAAAUGGGAAAGCUUACACUUAUUGCAGGACUGGGCUUGGUGCUCUGCCAUGUUG